CUAGCGGUGCGUUUAAUACAUGCAAGUCGAGCGCCCGGUUUACCGGGGAGCGGCAGACGGCUGAGUAACACGUUGGUACCUGCCCGAUACUCGAGGAUAGCUCGGAGAAAUCCGGAUUAAUACUCGAUAGUUCCCUACGGGGUAAAGAUUUAUCGGUAUCGGAGGGGCCUGCGGCCUAUCAGUUAGUUGGUGAGGUAACGGCUCACCAAGACAAUGACGGGUAGCUGGUGUGAGAGCACGACCAGCCAGAAUGGGACUGAGACACGGCCCAUACUCC
rnacentral:rRNA from 1 species